UCCCUGGUGGUCCAGUGGCUAAGAUUUCUUGCUCACAAUGCAAGGGGCCUGGGUUCAAUCCCUGGUCGGGGAA
rfam:TPA: Bos taurus chromosome 22, whole genome shotgun sequence.